GACCAGACUCCUACGGGAGGCAGCAGUGGGGAAUAUUGCACAAUGGGGGAAACCCUGAUGCAGCGACGCCGCGUGAGUGAAGAAGUAUUUCGGUAUGUAAAGCUCUAUCAGCAGGGAAGAAAAUGACGGUACCUGACUAAGAAGCCCCGGCUAACUACGUGCCAGCAGCCGCGGUAAUACGUAGGGGGCAAGCGUUAUCCGGAUUUACUGGGUGUAAAGGGAGCGUAGACGGCAUGGCAAGUCAGAUGUGAAAGCCCGGGGCUCAACCCCGGGACUGCAUUUGAAACUGUCAGGCUGGAGUGCAGGAGAGGUAAGUGGAAUUCCUAGUGUAGCGGUGAAAUGCGUAGAUAUUAGGAGGAACACCAGUGGCGAAGGCGGCUUACUGGACUGUAACUGACGUUGGGGCUCGAAAGCGUGGGGAGCAAACAGGAUUAGAUACCCCCGUAUC
rnacentral:rRNA from 1 species